CCUACGAAGGCAGCAGUGGGGAAUUUUGGACAAUGGGCGCAAGCCUGAUCCAGCAAUGCCGCGUGCAGGAUGAAGGCCUUCGGGUUGUAAACUGCUUUUGUACGGAACGAAACGGCUCUUUCUAAUAAAGAGAGCUAAUGACGGUACCGUAAGAAUAAGCACCGGCUAACUACGUGCCAGCAGCCGCGGUAAUACGUAGGGUGCGAGCGUUAAUCGGAAUUACUGGGCGUAAAGCGUGCGCAGGCGGUUAUAUAAGACAGAUGUGAAAUCCCCGGGCUCAACCUGGGACCUGCAUUUGUGACUGUAUAGCUAGAGUACGGUAGAGGGGGAUGGAAUUCCGCGUGUAGCAGUGAAAUGCGUAGAUAUGCGGAGGAACACCGAUGGCGAAGGCAAUCCCCUGGACCUGUACUGACGCUCAUGCACGAAAGCGUGGGGAGCAAACAGGAUUAGAUACCCUGGUAGUCCACGCCCUAAACGAUGUCAACUGGUUGUUGGGUCUUCACUGACUCAGUAACGAAGCUAACGCGUGAAGUUGACCGCCUGGGGAGUACGGCCGCAAGGUUGAAACUCAAAAGGAAUUGACGGCGNGAGAGAGCGAGACGACGACGAGGGAGGAGG
rnacentral:rRNA from 1 species